AGAGUUUGAUCCUGGCUCAGGACGAACGCUGGCGGCGUGCCUAAUACAUGCAAGUAGAACGCUGAAGAGAGGAGCUUGCUCUUCUUGGAUGAGUUGCGAACGGGUGAGUAACGCGUAGGUAACCUGCCUUGUAGCGGGGGAUAACUAUUGGAAACGAUAGCUAAUACCGCAUAACAAUGGAUGACACAUGUCAUUUAUUUGAAAGGGGCAAUUGCUCCACUACAAGAUGGACCUGCGUUGUAUUAGCUAGUAGGUGAGGUAACGGCUCACCUAGGCGACGAUACAUAGCCGACCUGAGAGGGUGAUCGGCCACACUGGGACUGAGACACGGCCCAGACUCCUACGGGAGGCAGCAGUAGGGAAUCUUCGGCAAUGGGGGCAACCCUGACCGAGCAACGCCGCGUGAGUGAAGAAGGUUUUCGGAUCGUAAAGCUCUGUUGUAAGUCAAGAACGAGUGUGAGAGUGGAAAGUUCACACUGUGACGGUAGCUUACCAGAAAGGGACGGCUAACUACGUGCCAGCAGCCGCGGUAAUACGUAGGUCCCGAGCGUUGUCCGGAUUUAUUGGGCGUAAAGCGAGCGCAGGCGGUUUGAUAAGUCUGAAGUUAAAGGCUGUGGCUCAACCAUAGUUCGCUUUGGAAACUGUCAAACUUGAGUGCAGAAGGGGAGAGUGGAAUUCCAUGUGUAGCGGUGAAAUGCGUAGAUAUAUGGAGGAACACCGGUGGCGAAAGCGGCUCUCUGGUCUGUAACUGACGCUGAGGCUCGAAAGCGUGGGGAGCGAGCAGGAUUAGAUACCCUGGUAGUCCACGCCGUAAACGAUGAGUGCUAGGUGUUGGAUCCUUUCCGGGAUUCAGUGCCGCAGCUAACGCAUUAAGCACUCCGCCUGGGGAGUACGACCGCAAGGUUGAAACUCAAAGGAAUUGACGGGGGCCCGCACAAGCGGUGGAGCAUGUGGUUUAAUUCGAAGCAACGCGAAGAACCUUACCAGGUCUUGACAUCCCGAUGCUAUUUCUAGAGAUAGAAAGUUACUUUGGUACAUCGGUGACAGGUGGUGCAUGGUUGUCGUCAGCUCGUGUCGUGAGAUGUUGGGUUAAGUCCCGCAACGAGCGCAACCCCUAUUGUUAGUUGCCAUCAUUCAGUUGGGCACUCUAGCGAGACUGCCGGUAAUAAACCGGAGGAAGGUGGGGAUGACGUCAAAUCAUCAUGCCCCUUAUGACCUGGGCUACACACGUGCUACAAUGGUUGGUACAACGAGUUGCGAGUCGGUGACGGCAAGCUAAUCUCUUAAAGCCAAUCUCAGUUCGGAUUGUAGGCUGCAACUCGCCUACAUGAAGUCGGAAUCGCUAGUAAUCGCGGAUCAGCACGCCGCGAUGAAUACGUUCCCGGGCCUUGUACACACCGCCCGUCACACCACGAGAGUUUGUAACACCCGAAGUCGGUGAGGUAACCUUUUGGAGCCAGCCGCCUAAGGUGGGAUAGAUGAUUGGGGUGAAGACGUAACAAGGUA
rnacentral:rRNA from 1 species